GUCGCGCUCACAGUUGGUCUCAAGAUGGAAAUACAUGUUCUGAACUGAUAAAUCGCUUAUGAUUGUGCAUUGACGAAGUUUAGAAGCAUGAGCAAGGCACUGCUUAGACUUCUUCAAUGGAGCGCCGUUUUCGCGUUUUGCGAAGCCUCUUCGAAGACAAUAAUAAGCAAGAGUGUGCUUUCGAAAGCUUCUCUGCGCCAUUGGGCGUCAAAUUUCACAAUAGAUCUAAACGUAUUUUUGGAUAGCGUACUGACCGCACGCUUGAGCAAAGAUAGCAGAAAGGCUGAUGAUUAUCUUCAAGAACUCUUA